AGCCCCGUGGUGUAGUGGUCCAGCAUCGGGGGUUCUGGCCCCCCGGACCUAGGUUCAAAUCCUGGCGGGGCUACCA
rnacentral:tRNA from 1 species